CAAUAGCGUAUAUUAAAGUUGUUGCGGUUAAAAAGCUCGUAGUUGGAUUUCUGCCGAGGACGACCGGUCCGCCCUCUGGGUGUGUAUCUGGUUUGGCCUGGGCAUCUUCUUGGAGAACGUAGCUGCACUUGACUGUGUGGUGCGGUGUCCAGGACUUUUACUUUGAGGAAAUUAGAGUGUUUCAAGCAGGCACACGCCUUGAAUACAUUAGCAUGGAAUAAUAAGAUAGGACCUCGGUUCUAUUUUGUUGGUUUCUAGAGCUGAGGUAAUGAUUAAUAGGGAUAGUUGGGGGCAUUAGUAUUCAGUUGCUAGAGGUGAAAUUCUUGGAUUUACUGAAGACUAACUACUGCGAAAGCAUUUGCCAAGGAUGUUUUCAUUAA
rnacentral:rRNA from 1 species